rnacentral:rRNA from 1 species
CGCGAGUAGCGACGCGCGCGUUCUCGAUCCAUAUAGACGAGACGCGUGCGGGUGCGACUUGCGGUCGGCGCACUUCUGGCGGGCGAGCGUCAGCGUCGGUUGUCGACGGGCGAGAAGGUCGCGAGAAAGGUGGACCGGUCUCCUCACGACCGGUUGUUAAGCCUCGCGCUCGUACGGCCCGACGACGACCGUGGCUCGUGGAGGCGACGCGUGCCUGGCUGGCGACUCACCCGAUCGGUCCGGCAUGUCGACCGUGGCGGACGGCACGCCUGUGCGCUCGAACCGCUGCCGGUCGAUCGGAUGAUGUUCGCACACUACGCGUCGAAGAUGCUGACGACCAUACGGCUCCAUCCGACCCGUCUUGAAACACGGACCAAGGAGUCUAACAUGUGCGCGAGUCUCCGGGUGAUGGAAACCCGUGGGCAUAAUGAAAGUAAAGAUCGUCCCCGAGACGAUUGAGGUGAGAAGCUGCAUCAGCGGCCGCAUCAUCGACCGACCUAUUCUGCUCUCAGAAAGGUUUGAGUAAGAGCGUAUCUGUUGG